GCGGCGUGCUUACCAUGCAAGUCGAACGGUGAAGCGGAGCUUGCUCCGCGGAUCAGUGGCGAACGGGUGAGUAACACGUGAGCAACCUACCCCUGACUCUGGGAUAACAGUUGGAAACAGCUGCUAAUACCGGAUACGACCUCAGCAGGCAUCUGCCGAGGUGGAAAGCUCCGACGGUCAGGGAUGGGCUCGCGGCCUAUCAGCUUGUUGGUGAGGUAACGGCUCACCAAGGCGACGACGGGUAGCCGGCCUGAGAGGGCGACCGGCCACACUGGGACUGAGAUACGGCCCAGACUCCUACGGGAGGCAGCAGUGGGGAAUAUUGCACAAUGGGCGCAAGCCUGAUGCAGCAACGCCGCGUGCGGGAUGACGGCCUUCGGGUUGUAAACCGCUUUCAGCAGGGACGAAGCUAACGUGACGGUACCUGCAGAAGAAGCACCGGCUAACUACGUGCCAGCAGCCGCGGUGAUACGUAGGGUGCGAGCGUUGUCCGGAUUUAUUGGGCGUAAAGAGCUUGUAGGCGGUUUGUUGCGUCGGAAGUGAAAACUCAGAGCUUAACUCUGAGCCUGCUUUCGAUACGGGCAGACUUGAGGGAUGUAGGGGAGAACGGAAUUCCUGGUGGAGCGGUGGAAUGCGCAGAUAUCAGGAGGAACACCAGUGGCGAAGGCGGUUCUCUGGACAUUUCCUGACGCUGAGAAGCGAAAGCGUGGGGAGCAAACAGGCUUAGAUACCCUGGUAGUCCACGCCGUAAACGGUGGGCACUAGGUGUGGGACCCUUCCACGGGUUCCGUGCCGUAGCUAACGCAUUAAGUGCCC
rnacentral:rRNA from 1 species